GACGAACGCUGGCGGCGUGCUUAACACAUGCAAGUCGAACGGAAAGGCCCUGCUUUUGUGGGGUGCUCGAGCGGCGAACGGGUGAGUAACACGUGAGUAACCUGCCCUUGACUUUGGGAUAACUUCAGGAAACUGGGGCUAAUACCGGAUAGGAGCUCCUGCUGCAUGGUGGGGGUUGGAAAGUUUCGGCGGUUGGGGAUGGACUCGCGGCUUAUCAGCUUGUUGGUGGGGUAGUGGCUUACCAAGGCUUUGACGGGUAGCCGGCCUGAGAGGGGGACCGGCCACAUUGGGACUGAGAUACGGCCCAGACUCCUACGGGAGGCAGCAGUGGGGAAUAUGGCACAAUGGGCGGAAGCCUGAUGCAGCAACGCCGCGGGCGGGAUGACGGCCUGCGGGUUGUAAACCGCUUUCGCCUGUGACGAAGCGUGAGUGACGGUAAUGGGUAAAGAAGCACCGGCUAACUACGUG
rnacentral:rRNA from 1 species